GAUGAACGCUGGCGGCGUGCCUAAUACAUGCAAGUCGAGCGAACAGACGAGGAGCUUGCUCCUCUGACGUUAGCGGCGGACGGGUGAGUAACACGUGGAUAACCUACCUAUAAGACUGGGAUAACUUCGGGAAACCGGAGCUAAUACCGGAUAAUAUAUUUAACCGCAUGGUUCAAUAGUGAAAGACGGUUUUGCGGUCACGUAUAGAUGGAUCCGCGCCGCAUUACCUAGUUGGUAAGGUAACGGCUUACCAAGGCAACGAUGCGUAGCCGACCUGAGAGGGUCAUCGGCCACACUGGAACUGAGACACGGUCCAGACUCCUACGGGAGGCAGCAGUAGGGACUCUUCCGCAAUGGGCGAAAGCCUGACGGAGCAACGCCGCGUGAGUGAUGAAGGUCUUCGGAUCGUAAAACUCUGUUAUUAGGGAAGAACAAAUGUGUAAGUAACUAUGCACGUCUCGACGGUACCUAAUCAGAAAGCCACGGCUAACUACGUG
rnacentral:rRNA from 1 species